ensembl:lncRNA
GAGAUCAUGUAGCAAUUUAAUUAAAAACUUUUAAAUACAUUCCUUUGUUAUAGUAUAAUCUUCACGUGUUUCAUCUGAAGCAUACUUUCUGUGUUGUCACUAGGGAUGGGUACCGGUUCUGACAUAAACGGUAGUAACCAGACCGAAAAGCAGCACACAUUUCGGUACUUUUUUUUUUCCUGAGCCAAUUCUAGCCAAUCAUUUUACGUUUCCGAGGAUAGUAGGCGGGGCCAGAUACGUACGUUCUUUUAGAGCAGAGCUACAGAUUAAAAAUGCCCAAGGCGAAGCGAUCAAAAGUCUGGCUGUACUUCACAGCAAAAGAUGCAAACUCAGCAGCCUGAAACAAGUGCUUUAAGCUGAUACUGUGAUACUGUCAAAAGAGGUAACACCUCAAAUCUGAUGAAACACCUGGCGACGCAUAGCGGUUUUUUUAAAGCCGAGAAAUGCGCCAUGUUUGAUGGCUUGCUGCGAGACCUCACACUGUGCACAUCUACUGCAGGUGUGGUGCCUGUUAUCGGACCCGGAGUUAGCAACAUCCCCAAAAACCCGAAGAGUAGAGUCCUGGCCCCUAGCCCUGUCAGCGUAGCAGAAAUGAUGACGGAUGAUGAUGAUGGCAGCAGCCGUUCUUCUCUGUUCCUUUUUGUCCCCAGGUCAUUUACAGCUAUGCAGUAAUACUCUCCAGCAUCAGAAGACUGAAUGGAGCUGAAGAUGAGCUGGGAGUCUUUACUGAGAGGUUUCUGAUCAUUCUGCUUGUACCAGGUGUAACUAGCUGCUGGGUUAGCAUCACUGCUACAGGUCAGAGUCACAGAGCUGCCCUCCACUAUCUCACCCGAGAGAGUCACUGACACAGAGGGGCGUAUUGGAGCAUCUGGAGGAAGAAAAAAAAAACCCAUAAACAUGUGUAAUGCUUUAUUUCGG